UCAGGACGAACGCUGGCGGCGUGCUUCAUACAUGCAAGUCGAACGAGAAGCUGACUUCGGUCAGUGGAAAGUGGCGGACGGGUGAGUAAUAUGUAGAGAAUCUGCCCUUGAGAGGGGGACAACAGUUGGAAACGACUGCUAAUACCCCAUAUGAGCGUAGCUGAAAUGCUAUUCUUGAAAAACUCCGGUGCUCAAGGAUGAGUCUGCAUCUGAUUAGCUAGUUGGUGGUGUAAUGGACUACCAAGGCGACGAUCAGUAGCUGGUUUGAGAGGAUGAUCAGCCACAAUGGGACUGAGACACGGCCCAUACUCCUACGGGAGGCAGCAGUAGGGAAUUUUGCGCAAUGGGGGGAAAAACCCCUGACGCAGCAACGCCGCGUGAACGAGACGCCCUUCGGGGUGUAAAGUUUUGUCAGUGGGGACGAACAAAUGACGGUACCCACAGAGGAAGCACCGGCUAACUCCGUGCCAGCCGCUGC
rnacentral:rRNA from 1 species